rnacentral:rRNA from 1 species
GACGAACCGUCCCAAACGUUAUUCGGAAUUACUGGGCUUAAAGGGUGCGUAGGCGGCGCGGAAAGUUGGGUGUGAAAUCCCUCGGCUCAACCGAGGAACUGCGCUCAAUACUACCGUGCUCGAGGGAGAUAGAGGUGAGCGGAACUUAGGGUGGAGCGGUGAAAUGCGUUGAUAUCCUAAGGAACACCGGUGGCGAAAGCGGCUCACUGGAUCUCUUCUGACGCUGAGGCACGAAAGCUAGGGUAGCGAACGGGAUUAGAAA